rnacentral:lncRNA from 1 species
CAAGCAAUACAAUAAACAUUACAAAAGAUGUAUAUAUCUUGUAGAGAUUGUAUAUUUGUUGAGAGAGUAUCUAGAGAUAAUAGACCUGAAAUAUUAGGCAUGCCUCUCUAUUUUGAACCUUUCACUGCCAGCAUUCAUUCGCUGGAGGAGAGGAGAGGUAACGAUUGGGAUUUCUCAAAGGAACACGGGCUUUUAGAGGAGAGAUGGAACCUUCCCAG